GCAGCUAGAAUUUGAAAUAAAAUAAAUUAUUUAGUUGAAAAUUUUUGAAAUUUUAACUUGUGCGUUUUAAUUUUUGGUGAAAUUUUCAAAGUUGAAGGUAAAUUUUAUUGCUGUCUAUUUGAUAAUCCUCAGGUCAUAAAAUUUUAUAGCCCCUGAGGGAAAAUCGACAGUAAUUGCAAUCGUCUAGUUAAAUUGUUUAUUAUUUUCGUCGAAAGGUCAUAUGACCAUCAGACAUUGAGAAAAUUAAUAAUCACAAACAAAAGGAAGACUUAGCAAACAGACAAAAGAUACUGCAGUUAUAUAGCUGAGGUCUGACGUCGCACUGUUUUUUAUGCGCAAAAAAAAAAAUUGAAAAAAAAAAUG